rnacentral:misc_RNA from 1 species
AUGCAUACAUAGCGGAAACCAGAAAGGAAAUGACAAUCAGUACGUGCUCGAUCAUUUGGGCUUUGUGAACGCGAUCCUUAUUUACUUCAAACAUUUUUUUCGUCAUUCGUACGUCAUUCUUGGCGUGCUAAAGUUCGGACAAGAGAUAAUUAAAAAAUAACGUUAAAUCUAAGUGAAGGAACUAACUGUGUAUCGAUUGCAAGGAGGAAAAACCAACAAAGGUCCGAGGGUCAUUGGGAGAGGAAAAAUGAGGGAGGUAUUGUUCGCGCUAUGCGCUAUUCUUGCUGUUGCGACAGCCAGAGUAGUCAUCAACUCGGAAAACCAAGCUCCCCAUUUGUUGGGCGCAAAAGAAUGCACGUGGGGACCGUCUUACUGGUGUCAGAAUAUAACGAACGCAGCAAAAUGCAAAAGUACUCAGCACUGCAUAAAAAAAGUAUGGGAGUCCAUGAAGGUGGAGGAUGACAAGGACAGCGUGUGUGGCAUCUGUAAAGACAUGGUUCGUCAAGCACGAGAUCAAUUGGAGAGUAACGAAACCCAGGAAGAUUUGAAGGAAGUUUUCGAGGGAAGUUGCGCGCUGAUGCAGAUCAAACCAAUCGUUCGAGAGUGCGAUAAAUUGGUCGAUGAAUUUAUUCCUCAACUCGUCGAGACUUUGGCAUCGCAAAUGGAUCCUUCAGUCGUGUGUUCUGUAGCUGGUCUUUGCAAUUCGGCUCGCAUCGAUCGCAUGAUCGAGAAUCACAACAAAUUAUUGCGGAAGAAUUCCGGUAAAAUAUCAUCGUUGAGCGACGACGAGCUCGAGCCCGACGAAUGCUCAAAAUGCUUCACGAUCGCUACUCACAUGGAAGAGAAGUUUAAUUCGGCAUCGCGAGAUCAGGUGCUUGAUUCGAUGUUGAAAGUAUGUGGCGAAAUGAGUUCAUUCAGUGACGCUUGCGCCUCGAUAGUCCUCGAAUAUUUCUCGAUGAUUUACACUCACCUCAGAAGCAAUUUCCACGCCAAGAAUAUCUGUCACUUAUCGGGUCAGUGCGCCGGUAUGUUCCACAGACACGAGAACUCCACCAAGGAUCUUGAAGUCGAAAUACGUCCGUUGUCGAGCGUUGGAAUGGUCGAUGUUGGCGACGAUUUACCCUGCGAAUUGUGCGAACAACUCGUUGGGCAUCUUCGCGAUUUGUUAGUCGCUAAUACAACGGAACAAGAAUUUGAACACGUGCUCGAGGGACUGUGCAAACAAACAAAAUCAUUCGCUCCUCAAUGCAAAUCAAUUGUCGAUGAGUACUAUCCCCAAAUUUAUGAUUACCUUGUGAAAGGGUUGGAUAACAAUGGCGUUUGCAUGAUGGCUGGCAUAUGCCCAUCCCCUGACAAGAAAACUCACGAUGGACCAAUCUGGCCGUUACUUCCGGAGAAAUCUCUCAAGAUUGCAACCGAAAUUGCUCUCGAACGUAAAAACGUUGGCGAGCACGGAGCUGGAACGAGACAGGAGGCUAAAAAGACUGAGGCUGACGAGAUGCAAUUGCCGAUCGAAAGGAUCAUGGGACCAUCAGUAAUCAUGGGUGCACCUCAAAUGGACCUUCAGGGAAAGAAAGAGUGCGCAUUUUGCGAAUACUUUUUGCAUUAUAUGCAACAAGUUUUUUCGUACCCAGUCACCGAAGACGAAUUGAAACAAGUGAUGGGUAAAGUGUGUAAGAAACUGCCGAAGAGCGUGCAAAACACGUGUACCGAAUUCCUCAACACCUACAGCGAUGCGAUAAUUGCUCUUUUCGUUCAGGAAAUUGAUCCUUCCGUCAUUUGUCCCAUGAUUUAUGUUUGUCCAUCGAAUGAAUUCAUGGAAGCCUGGGAAAAAAUUCCAAAAGAUCUGAUGAUUAAGAGUGAAGUAGAGGAGAAGCAAAGCUGUCCUCUGUGCCUGCUCGCCGUCACUCAAUUGGAGGAGAUGGUAAAAAAUGAAAAAACCGAGGAGAACAUCGAGAAAGCUUUGGAGAAGUUAUGCAUGCAUCUGCCCAAGAGUCUCAUAACUGACUGUAAUGGUCUCGUUCAACAGUAUAGCCAACAAGUCAUUGAAAUGUUGGUUGCCGAUUUUUCACCUCAGGAGGUUUGCGUUGCCUUGAAAUUGUGCGAUCCUAAGAAAAAUCCCGGAACGCAAUAUCUCACUCCAGUUGGCAAGGACGGAGAAAUACUGUCGAACGAAAUCCCAGAUAAUUCGGUCGCUAUAAAGCCGGUCAAAGAGACUACAAAAUGCGUUAUUUGUGAAUUUAUUAUGCAAUAUCUCGAAAAAGCAAUGAGGAAUAAAUCUACUAAAGAUGAAAUAGAAAAAAUCGUUCAUGGAGUAUGCGAUCAUCUUCCGAAUUCGGUCUCGAAAGAGUGCAACGGUUUCGUUGAUCAAUAUGCCGAUCUUGUGAUCGAACUCCUUUCACAAGAAGUUACACCACGGGAAAUCUGCACUAUUCUCAAUAUCUGCGAGGAUAAUAUGCAACGUUUGCACGAAUCCAUUGCUGAGUGUGCUCUCUGUCAAGGAGUAAUUUCGACGAUCGACGGUCUGCUGGCGAACGCUAAAGUCGAUCAGGAAAUCGAGGAGGUUGUAUCUCGAGUUUGUAAAUACAUAGCUCCAGCGAAGCGCGGCAAGUGCGUCAUGAUGAUGGAAGUUUAUGAGCAAAGUAUCAUAAAUAUUUUACGCGAGCACGGUGACAGAACAAAGAUUUGCAGUCGACUUGCUCUGUGCUCUGCUGGCGAUUAUUUUGCCAUGAUGACUCGACACAAGAGCAUGGCCAUGACUUCGAUCAAAGGAACGAAGCGUUACUAAGUAAAAGAUCCUCAGCGACUGAUUCAUCGACGAGGACUCUACAUUUCGAUGUUUAAAAUGAAUGCGUAAAGAUCGCAUAAAACGUUAAUUUCGUAUCGUUCGCUUCUUCACGAAGUUACUAAAUCUCAGUGAAACUUUUCUAAAGAAAUUCUUUCACAAGAAUAGAUGGCAAUUUUUUAUUUUCUCUUUUUUUUUCUAAAUUGACGUUUUUUACAUUAUUCACUAGAAUAAAAGAGUCAAAAAUAAUAAUAACAUGACAUAAAUAUAAUAUUUGAACUUAAUGAUUCAGCGGCUGUAGCGACGUUUCAUGCUGUGCGGACGAACGUCUUUAUAUCUUCCGUAGCUAUGAUUUGCGACCAAAUAAUAUGAGUUUCCUUAUGAGUACAUGUGAAUUUGGAGCAACACUCGAGUAGUUCACGAACGCUUCAAACUAUUCCAACACACGAGCUCCAUCAUUUUUGCAACAAUAUUGAAUUCACAUGUAGUUCGACACUCGCACCGUGAAAUCGUAUUUCUUAAAUUAAUUCACGGUCAAAACUACUUUUCUCUUUCAUUUGUACGAAAUUGUAAGUUACCUGUGAUAAUGGGAAAAUAAAGUUCUGAAAUUCUA